rnacentral:rRNA from 1 species
CGCCGUACUGAUGCGCCAUUACUAGCGAUUCCAACUUCAUGGAGGCGAGUUGCAGCCUCCAAUCCGAACUGGGCCCAACUUUACGGGAUUAGCUCCACCUUGCGGUCUUGCGUCCCUCUGUAUUGGGCAUUGUAGUACGUGUGCAGCCCUGGCCGUAAGGGCCAUACGGACUUGACGUCGUCCCCACCUUCCUCCCCGUUUCACAGGGCAGUCUGGUCAGAUUCCGGUUGCCCGGGAAUAACUAACCACGAGGGUUGCGCUCGUUGCGGGACUUAACCCAACAUCUCACGACACGAGCUGACGACAGCCAUGCAGCACCUGUGCAAAUCGCCCUUGCGGGCCAGCGUGUUUCCACGCCUGAACUAAGCAUGUCAAGGCCAGGA